ACCAUCCAAUACUCCAAUAGGCAAUGGCAAAGUAAAAUUAGGGUUUUACUCUAGGCUUCCAACUUUCAGUUUUCACUUUUCACCUUCAACAUUUCAACUUCCUCAAAACAUUGAAAGAGAAAGAGAGACCCUAAGCGAGUAAGCGCCGUUCUGAGCAUUCUCCAAUCUCCACCUCCGGCGACUUCAUCCAUCAUGUUUGGUCAUGGAGGAACGCAUGUCGACCCCUUCGACUGGAAGCCCCUCGCCGGACUUUGAAGGAUAUUAAUUAACAAGACUCCUAAUGUUGGAAAAUGGAGGUUACUCAGGCUGAUAUAUGGUUGUAUGCACUAUUGCACUCUUGCAGAUUGUAUGGAAUUUUGUUUUAAAUGUUAAAUGUUGGAUAUUUUUAUGUUAUGGAAUUUGUGAACCUGAUAAUGGCUGAUAAUGGUUGUAUGCACUCUUGCAGAUUGUAUGGAAUUUUAUUUGGAGAUUUGCUAAGCUAAUGUAUGGCAGAUUCUAUAAA